CAAUCCCUUGUUGAGAUUGUCUUCUAAACACUUAGAGAGAAGGAGACAGAACGGAGCAGCCAGCCCAUCUCACUGUGCCUGCUGCCCCAGCCAAGGUAGAGAGACCUCUGACGGACCGCUUGCAUGCGUGUGUGUGUGUGUGUGUGUGUGUGUAUUUCACUUUGCUCUCGUGCUUGAGUAUGUGUGUUUGUGCCGUUGCCUAUCUUGUAAGCCAGCCAGCUAGUGAGCGUGUGCAUGUGUGUUGGAGCAAGAGAGAGAGAGAGAGCAAGCGAGCGAGGGAGGGAGAGCGAGAGAGAGAGAAGAUGUGUGUGUGUGUAAGGAAGAGGGGGUAUUAUGCACCCUGGAUGUUGCCUCGUGCUUUAAACAGCUGCCUACAAGCCCAGGUAGUGUGCGCCGGCUUCUAAAUAAGGAGCACAUUCACCGUCCCCUUCAGGACAAGAGGCUAGGCUGCAGAGUGUGAAAUCAGACUAAUACAGCGGUGCAGGGCUGAGCAGGAGCAGGAAGCAGCUCCUGCAUGACUUACCUAGACUAGAGGUUUAGAGGACGAGAACCAGGAGACGAAAAAGGGGGGAUUGGACGUGGGAGAGAAAGGGGAGGAAAACAGGCAGUAAGGAAUGUGAGGGACCCUUUCCUCUGCUUCACAAGGUUGCAUUCUGUUGUGUACCCCGAAGACAUUUGAUCAGCCUUUGCUGCCCAUCAGACCUCCUGUUGCCA